UUAGUAACUACUUCGGCACAUCCAAUUCUAACUGUGAUAUCGUUUUUUUUAUACCUACUCAUAUUAGUUUUGCAAUGCAUAAUUGUGUACUAAAAAUUCGCCUGUUUUCGACAUAAACUAUCCUAUAAGUUAAUUGUAAAUCAAGUGAAAACAGAAUUCUGGUUUCAUUUUUAAAACAUCUAAAUUAAUCAAUCGGAUCAUACGUAAAUUAUUCCUAAUUUAACAUUGACCACAAUGAUAAUAAUAAAGUACUCAUCAAGACAACCCUCAUUGUCUUGAAACGAUGAUAACAGUGAUAAUAACUCGUGCUUGUUGAUUGAUGUAACGCACCCAUUGGAUUGUUCUCGUUGAUCGUUCAAAGUUCGACUUCGUUAAAAUGGAUUCUUACCUCGUCAUUUCUACUACGAGGACAACCAAUAAGGCAUCGCGAUCUCGUCAACACAUUGGGCCUACAAUUUCUGACGCAGUAACGUAGAACGUUCCAUGGACAAUAAUGAGGAGAGCCGCCGAAUGCGAUCAAACUGAUUGAGCAUUCCUUCUACGGUUUCAAUACUUAUGUUACGGUUACGCCACCCUAUACCUGCUGCACAAUUAAACAACUCAAUCCAAACCAAAAAUAUUGGUCUUUUGAUGUAAACUGUGUAACACGUAAAUCUAAUCAAAUGAAUAUCAUCUAUAAGACGAUCAAUAAAUGAUUUAAGAUGUUCAAAAUGUUAGUGGACAAAAGCUUGAUGAAAAACAUAUUGCUGUCCAAUACCAAAGAAAUGGUUUUAUGAAAUGAAUAUUAUCAAUAAGGCAUUGACGAUCAAUAUAACAUAAUUCAAGAUAUUCAAUAACAACUUGAAACUUCAAGAAGAUGGACAUUUUUCUAUUUUUAUUACUCUUGCUAAAUUAAUUAUAUGUA